CCUACGGGAGGCAGCAGUGAGGAAUAUUGGUCAAUGGGCGGGAGCCUGAACCAGCCAAGUCGCGUGAGGGAAGAAGGUACUGAGUAUUGUAAACCUCUUUUGCCAGGGGACAAAGGCGGCCACGGGUGGCUGUAAGAGGGUACCUGGAGAAAAAGCAUCGGCUAACUCCGUGCCAGCAGCCGCGGUAAUACGGAGGAUGCGAGCGUUAUCCGGAUUGAUUGGGUUAAAAGGGUGCGUAGGCGGAAUGCCAAGUCAGCGGUAAAAUCGCGGGGCUCAACCUCGCUCCGCCGUUGAAACUGGCGUUCUUGAGUGGGCGAGAAGUAUGCGGAAUGCGUGGUGUAGCGGUGAAAUGCAUAGAUAUCACGCAGAACUCCGAUUGCGAAGGCAGCAUACCGGCGCCCAACUGACGCUGAAGCACGAAAGCGUGGGUAUCGAACAGGAUUAGAUACCCUAGUAGUC
rnacentral:rRNA from 1 species